rnacentral:snRNA from 1 species
AUCGCUUCUCGGCCUUUUGGCUAAGAUCAAGUGUAGAUAGCCAGUCAAAUUUUAAGAUGUAACAAUCUUGAAAAAAAAAAAAAACACUUUAAGAUUUUAAUAGCUGAAGUUUGCUAUAGAAGGUUAAUAGUA